GACGAACGCUGGCGGCGUGCUUAACACAUGCAAGUCGAACGGAAAGGCCCUGCUUUUGUGGGGUGCUCGAGUGGCGAACGGGUGAGUAACACGUGAGUAACCUGCCCUUGACUUUGGGAUAACUUCAGGAAACUGGGGCUAAUACCGGAUAGGAGCUCCUGCUGCAUGGUGGGGGUUGGAAAGUUUCGGCGGUUGGGGAUGGACUCGCGGCUUAUCAGCUUGUUGGUGGGGUAGUGGCUUACCAAGGCUUUGACGGGUAGCCGGCCUGAGAGGGUGACCGGCCACAAUGGGACUGAGAUACGGACCAGACUCCUACGGGAGGCAGUAGUGGGGAAUAUUGCACAAUGGGCGGAAGCCUGAUGCAGCAACGCCGCGUGCGGGAUGACGGCCUUCGGGUUGUAAACCGCUUUCGCCUGUGACGAAGCGUGAGUGACGGUAAUGGGUAAAGAAGCACCGGCUAACUACGUG
rnacentral:rRNA from 1 species